UGGGGAAUUUUCCGCAAUGGGCGAAAGCCUGACGGAGCAAUAUCGCGUGAAGGAUGAAGGCCCGUGGGUUGUAAACUUCUUUUUUUAGGGAGGAAAUUUGACGUGUACCUAAAGAAUAAGCAUCGGCUAACUCUGUGCCAGCAGCCGCGGUAAGACAGAGGAUGCAAGUGUUAUCCGGAAUUACUGGGCGUAAAGCGUCUGUAGGUUGUUUAAUAAGUCAAAUGUUAAAUCUUAAAGCUUAACUUCAAAAUCGCAUUUGAAACUAUUAGACUAGAAGAUUAGAGAAGUAAAGGGAAUUUCCAAUGGAGCGGUGAAAUGCGUAGAUAUUGGAAGGAACACCAAUGGCGAAAGCACUUUACUAGAUAAUUCUUGACACUCAGAGACGAAAGCUAGGGGAGCAAAUGGG
rnacentral:rRNA from 1 species